UGGAAGAGGAGGAUGAUGCCACCAGCAUCAGUGUGGGCUCGGAGGCCCUUGAUCAGCUCCAUGUGGGGACACGGAGGGUAGUUGCUGACCUUGGUGCCAAAGGUUGGACCCUUGGAGCCAUAGAAAGCCUUCUUGAGAUGAGAGGUGUUUGAGGAAUUUCCAAUUCAGAACAGUGACAAAUUGAGUAUACUUUAGAGACAGUGACUAAGGAAGCUUUAGGGAAAUGGAGAUAAUUCUCUAGGAAGGUAAGCUUCAUCUGUUAAAUAUAUAUAUAUAUAUAUAUAUAUGAUAUGUACUUUUGAGACCAAAUGAAUUCCUGAAAUAUUGAUAUGAUAAUGACAAGUGGCUGCAGUUUUGUGACAAUGUACAAUG